UCUGGUUGAUCCUGCCAGUAGUCAUAUGCUUGUCUCAAAGAUUAAGCCAUGCAUGUCUAAGUAUAAAUAGUAUACAGUGAAACUGCGAAUGGCUCAUUAAAACAGUUAUAGUUUAUUUGAUAAUUGACAAUUACAUGGAUAACCGUGGUAAUUCUAGAGCUAAUACAUGCUUAAACGCCCGACUUUAUGGAAGGGUGGUAUUUAUUAGACUGAAGCCAAUAUUCCUUGUGUCUAUUGCGGUGAUUCAUAAUAACUGAUCGAAUCUCUUUUUGAGAUAAAUCAUUCAAGUUUCUGCCCUAUCAGCUUUCGAUGGUAGUGUAUUGGACUACCAUGGCAGUAACGGGUAACGAAGAAUUAGGGUUCGAUUUCGGAGAGGGAGCAUGAGAAACGGCUACCACAUCUAAGGAAGGCAGCAGGCGCGUAAAUUACCCAAUCCUGACUCAGGGAGGUAGUGACAAGAAAUAGCAAACCGGGAACCUCAUGGUUUCACGGUAUUGCAAUGAGAACAAUUUAAAACCCUUAGCGAGAAUCAAGUGGAGGACAAGUCUGGUGCCAGCACCCGCGGUAAUUCCAGCUCCACUAGCGUAUAUUAAAGUUGUUGCAGUUAAAAUGCUCGUAGUUGAACCUCUGUCUGGGGCUAGUUUUGGCUUUGGUCAGGCUAGUUCUAGGCAUCCGCCUACAAGACUUAGAGGGCAUUCAGUUGUUCACUAGGAGGAGUAGGCAUUUUACUUUGAAAAAAUUAGAGUGUUUAAGGCAGGCAAUCGCCCGCAUAUAUUAGCAUGGAAUAAUAGAAUAGGACACUUUUCCAUUUCGUUGGUUAUUGGAAUCGUGUAAUGAUUAAUAGGGACAGUUGUGGGCAUUUGUAUUUAAUUGUCAGAGGUGAAAUUCUUGGAUUUAUUAAAGACAAACUAACGCGAAAGCAUUUGCCAAGGAUGUUUUCAUUAAUCAAGAACGAAAGUUAGGGGAUCAAAGACGAUCAGAUACCGUCCUAGUCUUAACUAUAAACUAUUCCGACUCAAUGUUUGACUGGCUUAUAUAACCAGUUGAGCGUUGUAUGAGAAAUCAAAGUCUUUAGGUUCUGGGGGGAGUAUGGUUGCAAAGCUGAAACUUAAAGGAAUUGACGGAAGAGCACAACCAGGAGUGGAUUCUGCGGCUUAAUUUGACUCAACACGGGGAAACUUACCAGGUUAAAACAAUAGUGGGAUUGACAGUUUGAGAGCGCUUUCUUGAUUGGUUGGGUGGUGGUGCAUGGCCGUUCUUAGUUGGUGGAGUGAUUUGUCUGCUUAAUUGCGUUAACGAACGAGACCUUAACCUGCUUACUAGACUGGCGAUCAUCAAUCGUUAGCUCUUCUUAGAGGGACUUUGGUU
rnacentral:rRNA from 1 species